GCAGAGUAGAGCACAAUGCGUUAAGUGCCGCUGAAACGGGGAGUUGUUCGGCGGACGAAAGGGAGCCUUUUCCUUGCGGUAUUGUGGUCGCAUCCCGCUGC
rnacentral:ncRNA from 1 species